rnacentral:miRNA from 1 species
CAACCACUGCAAUUUCUCUAU